rnacentral:rRNA from 1 species
UGGGGAAUUCUGGACAAUGGGGGAAACCCUGAUCCAGCCAUCCCGCGUGUGCGAUGAAGGCCUUCGGGUUGUAAAGCACUUUUGGCAGGAAAGAAACGUCGCGGGUUAAUACCCCGCGAAACUGACGGUACCUGCAGAAUAAGCACCGGCUAACUACGUGCCAGCAGCCGCGGUAAUACGUAGGGUGCAAGCGUUAAUCGGAAUUACUGGGCGUAAAGCGUGCGCAGGCGGUUCGGAAAGAAAGAUGUGAAAUCCCAGAGCUUAACUUUGGAACUGCAUUUUUAACUACCGGGCUAGAGUGUGUCAGAGGGAGGUGGAAUUCCGCGUGUAGCAGUGAAAUGCGUAGAUAUGCGGAGGAACACCGAUGGCGAAGGCAGCCUCCUGGGAUAACACUGACGCUCAUGCACGAAAGCGUGGGGAGCAAACAGGAUUAGAUACCCUGGUAGUCCACGCCCUAAACGAUGUCAACUAGCUGUUGGGGCCUUCGGGCCUUGGUAGCGCAGCUAACGCGUGAAGUUGACCGCCUGGGGAGUACGGUC